rnacentral:snRNA from 1 species
GAAAUCUGUGAAAGCCAAUCAGGGCCUUCGGAAAGACCCUUUAUAUGAUUUUUUGGAAGCUCUUGCUCAGGCAGGGGCUA